rnacentral:lncRNA from 1 species
UAUGUAAAGUAUAGAAAAAAAAGUUUUCUCUUCAACUUCAGUCACCGAUCUUUCAUUUCUCUCUGUACGCAUAUGUUAUACUUCAAAGAGUAACAGUAGGUACAAAUUUGACACAUUAACUUUGAACACCUAUAUCUCUUUCAAAAAAACUCGAAAUUACACAAAAUCUUCAUCCAAAUUAUACCCAAAACCGUGAACUUGCUGAUCCUAGCCUCCAAA